UAAGAUUUUUUGUGAAAAAAUUCAAAACAGGAAGACAUCAAGUUUAGAGAAAACAGAUCCUGAAUGAAAUUUAUUCAAUCUCUGAUGAAGGGUAGAAAUACGAAUUAGUGUCCCAAAUAUUACCACAAACACGUUUUUUAUUAUGCACCUGAUCAUGUUGGACCAAGAGUACUUGAAUUCUUAUGAUUGGAUACUUGUAGUACAAUUGUGAGACAAACUAUGAAAUUAUAGCCAUUGCGUCACUGUUUAUCAGUACUGAUUUUUUGUUAAAAUUAAAGCCUAAAGGUUAUCCUACGGAUAGUUAAAUGUGGUAUACUAAAC